rnacentral:rRNA from 1 species
AUAGGUCCCGGCCUGCCCUGCUGACGGCAGUGUUUAACGGCCGCGGUAUUUUAACCGCGCGAAGGUAGCGUAAUCACUUGUCUUUUAAAUGGAGACCUGUAUGAAUGGCAUAACGAGGGUUUAACUGUCUCCUUUCCCCAGUCAAUGAAAUUGAUCUGCCCGUGAAGAAGCGGGCAUAGUAACAUAAGACGAGAAGACCCUAUGGAGCUUUAGGCAAAUGAUCAAGCAUACCAAACCCUACUUUCUAAUAAAUAUUCGGUUAAAAUAAAAACAAAUGAUCAAGACGCCUUCGGUUGGGGCGACCGCGGAGGAAAGAAAAGCCUCCAAGUGGAACGGGAAAACCCUUAAACUAAGAGAAACAACUCUAAGUACCAGAAAAUCUGACCAAAUAUGACCCAGGCUUAAGCCUGAUCAACGAACCCAGUUACCCUAGGGAUAACAGCGCAAUCCUCUCCCAGAGUCCAUAUCGACGAGAGGGUUUACGACCUCGAUGUUGGAUCAGGACAUCCUACUGGUGCAGCCGCUAUUACGGGUUCGUUUGUUCAACGAUUAGUACUCCUACGUGAUCUGAUUUCAAACCGGAUUCAGACCGGA